rnacentral:sRNA from 1 species
GCUUCGCUCGUGUGCAGUGAAAAUUCUUUUUUGCUGGGGUUUGGCACAAAAGAUUGGAACGUAUAGCUGGAAAAAGC